rnacentral:rRNA from 1 species
AGAAUCAACGCUGGCGGCGUGCCUAACACAUGCAAGUCGAACGAGAAAGUGGAGCAAUCCAUGAGUAAAGUGGCGCACGGGUGAGUAACACGUGACUAACCUACCCUUGAGUGGGGAAUAACUUCGGGAAACCGAGGCUAAUACCGCAUAACACCUGCGGGUCAAAGGAGCAAUUCGCUUAAGGAGGGGUCGCGGCAGAUUAGUUAGUUGGCGGGGUAAUGGCCCACCAAGACAGUGAUCUGUAU